AUUUUUAUAUCAUUCAAAAAGAAUACAUUCUAAUUUGUACAUUCUUGAGUACAUUGUUUGGCAAUUCAAAAUGUUUUAGACGGGAAAGUGUGUAUUGUUUUGAAGCUAUCCAAUCAUACUGCGACAUGUGGCACAAUGUCAAGGUUGAUGCCAAAUAAAAUGUACAAGUAGCACGAUUAUUUUUAGUAGAUGUCCCUGAGUCUUGUUAAUGUAUUUACCACGUGUUAUUUCCUCUAUCCAUAUCCAUUAAUGCAGUAUUAGUGCCAAAAAAAAUAAAAAAUAAAAAAAUAAUAAAGAAAGAGAGAGACAGAGGGUAUUUUAACAUCAAUAAUGCUCAAUAGAAUUACACUUUCUUCCAAAUCCCAAUUUCCAACAAAAAUAAAAAAUAAAACUCUCCAUUUUCAAAAUUUCCGUCUCUUCGUCUUUGGCAGUAUAGGAACAAAUUAAAAUCCAGUACCCCAUUGCAGUUCUGCCAGAUUGCUCUUUCAACCCAGUAGGCUUCAUUACAUUUUGUGCCCAAAUUAUUCUUAUGAAAUGUUCCCCAAAUCAAGUCAAGUAUUGAUUUCAAAAUAUACAGAAAUUUUGAAUCAAUUGAUUUUUGUUGAAAAGCUGAUUCUUUCUUUACGCAGCUAAAGCGGAUUGUCUUAGCUGAUAUUUGGCCAGAAGAAACAGGAAACAUGCACAAAUUUGCGAGAAAAAAAUAACAAGAAGGAAUAAGUGAGUGACAUUUAUCCAAAUUCAAAGUCGCAUUCCGUUCAUUAGGUUACCCAAAACUCAAUUCUCUGGACUGAAUUUAGUAAAAAGGAAUGCCUCCGCCAGAAUAUUCAACCUCCUGAAAUCAAGAAACGCAUAUAAGUCAAUGCAGGUUACAGUAACAAACCUACACCUAUUUAGAUCAAGAC
rnacentral:lncRNA from 1 species